UACGUAGGGGGCUAGCGUUGUCCGGAAUCAUUGGGCGUAAAGAGCGUGUAGGCGGCCCGGUAAGUCCGCUGUAAAAGUCAAAGGCUCAACCUUUGAAUGUCAGUGGAUACUGCCGGGCUAGAGUCCGGAAGAGGCGAGUGGAACUCCUGGUGUAGCGGUGGAAUGCGCAGAUAUCAGGAGGAACACCAAUAGCGAAGGCAGCUCGCUGGGACGUGACUGACACUAAGGCGCGAAAGCGUGGGGAGCGAACAGG
rnacentral:rRNA from 1 species